GAAAUUUGAAUUCAAAAAAAAACCCCAGCUCUAGCAGUCUAGAGAGAUCCAAACUCUGAAAAUUUCAAAUUCAAAAGCAUUCAAAUUCUAGAGCUUAGAUAAAUCAGAAAAUUUAAAUUCAAACUUCAAAUUACUGAAAAAUUACUAAAAAUAAUUAAAAAAAGGGUUCUAGACCUGUUCUUAUUCAAUUUCAUGAGUUCAUCAAGCUUAAUUUCCAAGCCCAGCUUGAUUUUGUUGGUUGAUUGAAGUAGAUGUGGAUUCUACUGCCUCCUAUCCUAUCUUUGCAUGGGUUUUUGAGUUAUAAUACUGAUUUCUGCUACAACUGCUGUCUCUUCUGUGCUGCUGCUUAAGCGACUUCUUUUUGCUCACACUUUGUUCCAAUUUUCAGGUAUUUGCCUAACCUUCAAUGGCCAAAGCAUAAGGAAACCUAUAAUUGAAGUUGCACUUCCGAGUUUGAUUAUACUGUUUUGGAACCCCUGUUUAUUCAUUUGGUAUUGUAAUGAGUAGUGUAGUCUUAUAUGUUCAUGAAAGCUAUUUAUUCACGCAUUAAAAGUACAAGUAGCCAAUAGUGUAAUGACUAGGGACUCAAAUUUGAUAUUGGAUAGCUUUUUGUUUUGUAAUCAAAUUGGGACUGUG
rnacentral:lncRNA from 1 species